rnacentral:rRNA from 1 species
UACGUAGGGGGCAAGCGUUGUCCGGAAUCAUUGGGCGUAAAGAGCGUGUAGGCGGCUUGGUAAGUCCGCUGUGAAAGUCCAGGGCUCAACCCUGGAAUGCCGGUGGAAACUGUCAAGCUUGAGUCCGGAAGAGGCGAGUGGAAUUCCUGGUGUAGCGGUGAAAUGCGCAGAUAAUCAGGAAGAACACCCGUGGCUAAGGCGGCUCCUCGUAGUACGGUACUGACGCUGAGACGCGAAAGCGUGGGGAGCGAACAGG